rnacentral:rRNA from 1 species
ACGGGAGGCAUCAGUAGGGAAUAUUGCACAAUGGGGGGAACCCUGAUGCAGCAACGCCACGUGUGGGAAGAAGCAUUUCGGUGUGUAAACCACUGUCGUGAGGGAAUAAUGCUUGAUUUCGGUCAAGUUGAAUGUACCUCGAAAGGAAGCACCGGCAAACUUCGUGCCAGCAGCCGCGGUAAUACGAGGGGUGCAAGCGUUGUUCGAAAUCACUGGGCGUAAAGGGAGCGUAGGCGGAGCCGCAAGCAGUCUUUACAAUACCGGGGCCCAACCCCGGACCUGCAGACUGGACUGUGUCUCUUGGAUAGUUCAGGGGCAGGCGGAAUUCCUGGUGUAGCGGUGGAAUGCGUAGAGAUCAGGAAGAACACCGAUGGCGAAGGCAGCCUGCUGGGGACUCAUCGACGCUGAGGCUCGAAAGUGCGGGUAGCAAACAGGAUUAGAUACCCUGGUA